rnacentral:rRNA from 1 species
AGAGUUUUGAUCCUGGCUCAGAUUGAACGCUGGCGGCAUGCCUUACACAUGCAAGUCGAACGGCAGCGCGGGAGCAAUCCUGGCGGCGAGUGGCGAACGGGUGAGUAAUACAUCGGAACGUGCCCAAUCGUGGGGGAUAACGCAGCGAAAGCUGUGCUAAUACCGCAUACGAUCUACGGAUGAAAGCAGGGGAUCGCAAGACCUUGCGCGAAUGGAGCGGCCGAUGGCAGAUUAGGUAGUUGGUGAGGUAAAGGCUCACCAAGCCUUCGAUCUGUAGCUGGUCUGAGAGGACGACCAGCCACACUGGGACUGAGACACGGCCCAGACUCCUACGGGAGGCAGCAGUGGGGAAUUUUGGACAAUGGGCGAAAGCCUGAUCCAGCCAUGCCGCGUGCAGGAUGAAGGCCUUCGGGUUGUAAACUGCUUUUGUACGGAACGAAACGGCCUUUUCUAAUAAAGAGGGCUAAUGACGGUACCGUAAGAAUAAGCACCGGCUAACUACGUGCCAGCAGCCGCGGUAAUACGUAGGGUGCAAGCGUUAAUCGGAAUUACUGGGCGUAAAGCGUGCGCAGGCGGUUAUGUAAGACAGUUGUGAAAUCCCCGGGCUCAACCUGGGAACUGCAUCUGUGACUGCAUAGCUAGAGUACGGUAGAGGGGGAUGGAAUUCCGCGUGUAGCAGUGAAAUGCGUAGAUAUGCGGGAGGAACACCGAUGGCGAAGGCAAUCCCCUGGACCUGUACUGACGCUCAUG